rnacentral:rRNA from 1 species
UCACCACCACCGAAUGAUCUUGCAAAGUGUAAAGUCUCCAUGUUUCAGUACAAACUAGUGGCGUCAAUAACCAAGCAAUAUCAGGCAGAAGGUAAAUUCUAGUAAAUGGUGAUUAGUAGACAAAAAUAGGAAAUAGAUUGCACCAGUAGCAAGCAGAAGCUAAAUUUUAGUAACUGAUGAUUAAUUAUAACAUAGCAUCUCCAGCCCUGCUGUCCUGGUUAGUGCAACUACAAAACAGGAAAUGUUUUUUAUUUAUACACGGAGCAGUAAUGAAGUAAGGCUUUGCUGUCCUAGUUAGUGCAACUACAAUUUUUUUUUGAAUGGUUGGUACUACAGAUCAUACUUCAAAAGCUCGAAGAUAUUGAGAAGCUCAGAUCAAACAUAAAGCACACAUAAAUACACUCCCCUUCUGCUCAAUGGCAGUGCACAAUAUACUUAUUCAUAUCUACAUGCCCGUUCAUACAAAAUAAGAAUUAAAAAAAUAAGGUACAUAGCUUCUACAACUCACGUUGAAGGUGCUUGAAGAAAAGAAUAAGCCAAGAAAAUAGCAAUCAUCGCAAAGACACCC